rnacentral:rRNA from 1 species
AGUGAACGCUGGCGGUAGGCCUAACACAUGCAAGUCGAACGGCAGCACAGUAAGAGCUUGCUCUUACGGGUGGCGAGUGGCGGACGGGUGAGGAAUACAUCGGAAUCUACUUUUUCGUGGGGGAUAACGUAGGGAAACUUACGCUAAUACCGCAUACGACCUACGGGUGAAAGCAGGGGAUCUUCGGACCUUGCGCGAUUGAAUGAGCCGAUGUCGGAUUAGCUAGUUGGUGGGGUAAAGGCCCACCAAGGCGACGAUCCGUAGCUGGUCUGAGAGGAUGAUCAGCCACACUGGAACUGAGACACGGUCCAGACUCCUACGGGAGGCAGCAGUGGGGAAUAUUGGGCAAUGGGCGCAAGCCUGAUCCAGCCAUACCGCGUGGGUGAAGAAGGCCUUCGGGUUGUAAAGCCCUUUUGUUGGGAAAGAAAAGCAGCAGGUUAAUACCCCGCUGUUCUGACGGUACCCAAAGAAUAAGCACCGGCUAACUUCGUG